rnacentral:rRNA from 1 species
UACGAAGGUCCCAAGCGUUGUUCGGAAUCACUGGGCGUAAAGGGCGCGUAGGCGGCCUGCUAAGUCGAACGUGAAAUCCCUGGGCUCAACCCAGGAACUGCGUCCGGUACUGGUUGGCUUGAAUCCGGGAGAGGGAUGUGGAAUUCCAGGUGUAGCGGUGAAAUGCGCAGAUAUCAGGAGGAACACCGGUGGCGAAGGCGGGUCUCUGGGCCGAUACUGACGCUGAGGAGCGAAAGCGUGGGGAGCGAACAGG